rnacentral:sRNA from 1 species
UUUUUAUUUUAUUUUAUAUAUAGAUAUAUAAAUUAGUAUAUUAGAUAUUUUUUUUUUUUACUUUUUGUAUUUUUUUCCAAAAAACAAAACUUAAAUCUCUUCUGACACAUGUCAACAUCUGAUCGAUUUAUUUGACAUGUGGUGCAAUCUUAUGAUUGUUUUGUUAACGGAAAUUUAACGGCAUGUCUUAAACGGCCCAAUCAACGAAACUUAGCUAUUUUAUUGAGAAGUCAACAAAAACUUCAUGAUUAU